GUCACUUCCUCCUUCACCACCCUGUUCCUGGCUGCCAUGGCAGAAGGUGGACUGAUGGCGGCUGAAUAUUUUCUGUGCUGCUGAAAUGUUAACUUCCAUUCUGUACAGUGACAUGACUGAGAUGCUGGAAGAACUUCAAGGCCGUGCCACAGAUAUUCAUCACAAAUCUUAUUACAGAGGAUGGCAUUUUCCUGCCACAGGCGGAGACCCAAGGUCAGUGGAGGUCUGACGGGACGUUGAUGAAUGGAUGUGAAGGGUGUCAUCCUGGAUAAACAGCGCCCGGGCCCACAUGCUGCUACAUCCUGAAAAAUACGUCUGUUCCACCAGCAGCCCAGGGAAAUAGUUUGGAGGUUUCACACAUCCUUUCGAUUGCUCACUCUGUCUUUCUCUCUGCGUGGAACGUACAUCAUUCCCCGUGUACGAAAAUAAAAGUCAAAAAAUAACACA